rnacentral:rRNA from 1 species
AGAAUCAACGCUGGCGGCGUGCCUAACACAUGCAAGUCGCACGAGAAAGGGACUUCGGUCCUGAGUACAGUGGCGCACGGGUGAGUAACACGUGAAUUAUCUACCUCCGAGUGGGGAAUAACUGAGAGAAAUCUUAGCUAAUACCGCAUAACACUUACGAGUCAAAGCAGCAAUGCGCUUGGAGAGGAGUUCGCGGCAGAUUAGUUAGUUGGCGGGGUAAUGGCCCACCAAGACGAUGAUCUGUAUCCGGCCUGAGAGGGCGCACGGACACACUGGAACUGAAACACGGUCCAGACUCCUACGGGAGGCAGCAGUGGGGAAUUUUGCGCAAUGGGGGAAACCCUGACGCAGCAACGCCGCGUGGAGGAUGAAAUAUCUUGGUAUGUAAACUCCUUUCGAUGGGGAAGAUAAUGACGGUACCAUAGAAGAAGCCCCGGCUAACUUCGUGCCAGCAGCCGC